UGCUAGAAGGGAAUAGCGUAGAUUGCAAAGCUUGCUUUAAGGAUAGACAAAAUGGGGGUGUGGAAGCUUGUCAUUUACAGUGGUUUAAUGACUGAAUAGAAGCAUAUGAGCAUGCCUAUGUAGAUAAUGUACGAGAUCUCUAAACCAAACAAACAGUGCCUCUACAACAAGUGGGACCGCUUGGGAUGUUUGAGUGUGGGCUCAGAACUUUUCCAGGAAGAAAAAUGUAUUAAGACUUUUUGUUAUGGUACGUGGUGCAUUAGUCACAAUACGCUCAUAUGAAACAACUAGUAAUGUUGUUGAUGACUGUGCUUGGUAUACUGACACAUGAGACUUCGGGUGUUUAUGCCUGCUGUGGUUUCAAGGAAUCUAGAAAAUUAUUGCUGCCCUUAUGAUGAAACUUUAUUUCAAUGUGUGUCAGUUGGCUAAGAAGCAUAACUAUGUGCCAAUAAAGUGCAGAACUGUGAGGGAAUGUAACUUCAACAGCUACAUAGGACAAGCUUACGUGAGAACGCAUUGGAAGGGAUUGGUGGCUUGUGAUGGAAUUGCGGAUAACCAUUAAAUUAAAAUUUACACUUUUGCAUUUAAGUUUUACGGCAGUAAUACUACAUCUGAGUUAUAGAGUCCCAUUCAGUAUUUUGGUACUUCUGGUUACAACAGAAUCAUAAAACCACAGAAUGGCCUGAUUUGAAAAGGACCACAACGAUCAUCAAUUUCAACCCCUCUGCUAUGUGCAGGGUCGCCAACCACCAGACCAGGCUGCCCAGAGCCACAUCCAGCCUGGCCUUGAAGGCCUCCAGGGGAUGGGGCAUCCACAACCUCCUUGGGCAACCUGUUCCAGUGCAUUACCACCGUCUGAGUGAAAAACUUCUCCCUAAUAUCUAACCUAAACCUCCCAUGUCUCAGUUUAAGACUCAUCAUCCUUGUCCUAUCACUAUCCACCCUUGUAAACAGCCAUUCCCCCUCCUGUUUAUAUCCCUUCAAAAUGCGUGUAUUAUGGACUUUGACUAUUCUGUUGUAUUUGCUUUGCAGUUUAUAUGUCUUACAGACUAUGGAACCUUUCUCUUUGCCUCGGAUGAAAUCCACUGAUUCCAAGAAAAUGAAUACAUUAUUUGUGGUAAUUGGAUGGAAGUGUAUGAUAUGUAAAUUAAUAGCUAUAUAAAUCAUUAAUGUAUUUUUCUCUUCUUAUGGUGUUUAUUAAGGGUAAAUGAUGCAGCAGACUAUUCUCUUCUCAGAGUAUUUUGUAGCAUACAGUGUAGAGGUAAUCUUAGAAUUUCACUUUUUAGUUUAAAAUCAAAGUUUUUAUUAGGAUUUAAAGUGGAUUUAAUCUGUUACUUCAGCUGCAUGACCACUAAAUUAGAAGGGUAAAUACUUGAAGAUUCUUUUCUAUUUAGAAAAUUGAAAGAUGUUAAUUUCUGUUGUAAGAAACUAUAAGUAAUCUGCCACUAUCUUAUGUUGAAUAAUAUAGCUGUACUCUCCCAUGGGUUUUGUUUGUAUAUUUUUUCUGUUUUGUUUGUUUUGAUAGCAUUUGCUGAAUGUUUGUUUUUGCUUUUGUUUUUGUUUUUUUAAUCCAGGAAGCAGGAAAGUGAUGAAUCUGGAACUAGUAAUGUGCUACUCGUUUUGAAGUCCUCAUGACCUAGAAUGCUUGCACUGACAUAAGAAAGAGAACAAAGAUUUGUAUUGGUUUAAGCUGAAUAUCAAACUACACUUUAAGCUGUAAGGCACUUAAACUGGCAAACAAACAAGGGCUAAAGGCUGAAAGACCAGUUCCUAAGUUUGGCCCUAGGCCACGUCUGUGAAAAUGUUCUGAAGCUAUUCAGAAGAGACAAAUAAGAAGAGAUAAAUGUGACAAAUCUCAGGAACACUUUCCUUUUGUAACCGCUUUUGGAGCGAUGUGUCAAUAAAAACAAAAGUUUCAAAUUGGAUUACCGCUACCUACUGGCAGGGAUUAGGUAAAAUGUUAAGACAAAUGGGUAUAUUGAGUAAUAGCCUUCAAUUUUGUGAAAGAAACAAGCUCUACAGUUCUUUUUAUUUAAUUAAUAAAUCAACAAGUUACAACUGAACAAGUGUAGCUCAAAACACUUCUUUAGGUAACACAUACAAGUCUGUACAGUCUCUUGCUGCCUUUGGCUUUAUCUAGUACCCAAAUGAAUAAACAGCCAAAACAUUAGUAUUUCCUCAGAGGGGUGGGGGGGGGGGGGAAAGAAUGAAAGAGUAAACCUUUGAUCCAGAUUUGGCUGAAGAUUGAAUACAGCUGUGACCACAGCAGUUUUCAAUUUUUUUUUUAUUACUCCCAAGUUCUGACAAAUGACUGUGUGCAUUCCCUGUAUAUAGUAGUUUCCAUCAUCUUCUUUCUUUGACUUUUUUUAAUGUAAAUGAGCCAGAGGGCUUUAAUGUGAUUACAAAUAAAGCAGAGCGAACUUACUCAACACUUGCAGUAAUAGUGGACUGAAACACUAUUUUUAAUUCAAUAAAAAUUUCAGAAAUAGUUGCAUUUUCAGGCUUGCAAAGCAAAACUUUUUCUGACAGAGAGAGAACUUGUCAUUUAUCUAGAAGUAUGUACCAAUGCAUUUAAAAGUGUUAACAAAGAUGCAGUCAGCAAAACAAUGCACAAUUAUUUGGCAAUUAGAAAGCAAUACAUUAAAGUACAGUUUAGAAUAGCUUUUAUGUUGAUAAUAGUGAAGGUAGUGUAGGAGAAAUAUUUUAGGGAACAUCUCCAGUUUGAAAAAUGAAGUUUGGGUAAAUAAGACUAUCCGUGUACUUUUUAAGUUAAUACUUCAUGACUCUUCCGUGGGUUUUUCUGCAUUUCGGUUAGUCUGGACCUGGUUUUGCUCAGUAGGAUUAAAUGUCACAGUUACGUUGCAUUUCUACAGUGAUAUUCCUGCUGAGUUACGUUUUUUUAGGUUUUCUGACGAGAUGAAUUGGAAUCCUGCUACCUCCCUAUUAGUAAUAAUGGACAAUUAUCUGACCUGGACAGGGAGAUGUCCUUAAAACGGUGCUUGUGGGAGAGAAUGUUAAAGAUGUAAACGCAAAUGAUGUUGAGAGCAAGAGUGAAAUGAUUGGAAAUGCCUCUAGAUACAGUAAAAAGGGAAUUUGAGUACCUAUGAUGGAGAAGUGUCUGCUUCAUGAAUAUAGACAGCUUAUUUUCUUCAAAAUCCUUUUUUUCACCUUCUUCUCAAAAUGAUAGCUGUAUGUGUUGUCUUGUGUGAACUUGGAUAUUUAUUUUCAUUUUAACAUGGUCCUUGGAAAGAGUUGAAAAUAAGAUAUAUUUUGUGGAGAUGUUUGCUGAGUAGUUAUCUUCUCUUAUACUGUCAAACUGGUUUGGAAAGACAGAUCCUGAGUGCUCAAGGAGAUCUUGCAUCUUUUAGAACAACAAACUUAAAUGUCAAGAGUGCACUAUUGAUCAAAACAUCAGCAGGCUGACAACGCAGCAGCCACUUGACAAUAGAGAAAAAAAUUACUCCUGUCCAUGCUAUGUAAAGCCCUUCAUCAGAUUUUCAGUCUUCCUAGAAGUAUACUUAUCAUCUAGCUCUGGCAGACAAUAAGAAGAUGUGCUAUGAAUAAACUUACUGUCACUUGCAAUUAUGCUCUUCUUGGACUAUUAAAAAAGCAGACAGCAGUCUGGCAGAAGCCAGUCUCCGACAUCUUGAUAACCUGACCAAACUGCCUAAGAACUAAAGGCUGGCCAUCAAGGCUAAGAACUGAUAUGUUUCUACAUGAGUUCCACUGCUGAUAUAUUACUCAGCAUGCCACUAUGAAUCACGACCAGAAAUGCAACAGCUCCUUUUCUAGGGCUUCACUUGGCCUCCCGGCUGACCAGUUGUGACUGCUACGCAUCUCCACCUUCAGCUUCUUUCAUGUCUUCCUCAUAAGCCACCUCAGAACCUGUUUACAGUAUUAAAUUUCUGUGAUUACUGUCCACUUGCUUGGGUGCUGAGCACAUUCCUGCCUUGCCUUUGGCUUGGCUUUUUCUACUUGACCAGUGUCUUUUGUGAUGCUAGCCCUUACCUCCAGACUACAUCAGCCUAAUCAGACCAGUUUCUGCGGUUGCCUAUGCUUUGAUUAUGAUUGUUUAACAUCUACUGCAUUCACCGAGAAUCUUCAACUUUUAAUUAACGCUUUCCAUAUGGCUUUCAUUUAAAUAAAAAUAAAGUGUUUUUAUUCCUCCUGAAGCACAUUCAGAUGUAUGUUUUACGAAGCAGUAAUUUCCUUUUUAAUUGCACAAUAUCAUGCUCAAGCCAUCCUCUGAAAGCUCACUUUGGACACAGAGCGUAACAAUGGAAUAUCUCAGAUUGUUUUAAGUAAGCAAGCAUAUUGAUUAUUGUACCGUCAGCCUGGGAGCUAGAGUGUCCCCUGUGCCUCACAAAUGCUAUGAAAUUCAAUCACACAGAAAUAAGAUGAUGGAUAUUUCCUAUAAUAAUCACUGUCCUAGGCAUAAGCCAUCUUCAGCCAUUCUUCUCUCUUCCAGAGACAUGUCACUCCUUGCAGUGAGUCAUCUGAUUGUUACAUUUUAGUCUAAAAAUCCUGACUGAUCCUAAUGCUACCAUUCUGCGAAUAGAAUCAGCCUCUCAAUAUGAGACACCAUUCCAUAGAUCAAUAUGGCAUACAUGUUACCAGCAGCAAGAUACAUUAAAGAAGAUAAAUGACUCUAAAAAGAAUGGAAACAGAGGGAUUUCUUGGAAUUUUGCCCAAGUACUCUGACAGAUUUGUCAGUGCUAGGCUAUAUAUUACAACAAUUUUAAAACACAGAGAAGAGGACCCACAGGUUACUGUAUUGUGUGUCCUCCUAGGAGACACAAAGAUAUUCUUGCCCAAAGCCGUGUAUCUUUUGCUAUGUUCCUUUUCUGCCAGGACCUGAUUAAUCUGGGAGAGAUAACCAGCUCUGAUUACGCUCUAUUAGAAGAAUGAUGCUGCCUUCAUCAUAUCUGCAGCAGAAUAAAUCAUGAUUGAUAUUAAACUUUUGUACUUCUGAAUUCUGAAAACUGCACUGUGCUUCAAAAGGUCGGCAGAAAUGGCAGUCUUGCAAUUCAGACUGUUGGAUGUUAUCCAG
ensembl:lncRNA